rnacentral:rRNA from 1 species
GUAGUCAUAUGCUUGUCUCAAAGAUUAAGCCAUGCAUGUCUAAGUAUAAACGACUUUGUACUGUGAAACUGCGAAUGGCUCAUUAAAUCAGUUAUAGUUUAUUUGAUGGUACCUUGCUACAUGGAUAACUGUGGUAAUUCUAGAGCUAAUACAUGCGUCAAAGCCGCGACUUCUGGAAGCGGUGUAUUUAUUAGAUAAAAAACCAACGCGGUUUGCUGCUCCCUUGGUGAUUCAUAAUAACUUUUCGAAUCGCACGGCCUUGCGCCGGCGAUGCUUCAUUCAAAUAUCUGCCCUAUCAAGUUUAGAUGGUAGGAUAGAGGCCUACCAUGCUUUCAACGGGUAACGGGGAAU